CAAGAAGCCCUAAGCAGGAAGAUCGAGCGGGGGACAAAAGGCGUGAGCCCCAGGAUGGUACCACCUUCCUCUUUGCUUCCUAGUUCUCUGCCUUCUCCGCCCCUUACCCUCACACAGACGGAUGCCUGCCUCUGCUUCACUCCCUGCCACCUUCCACUCCCUGAGCCUCCUCCUUGUUUCUCCACAUUCCUGCCCAUCAGAGAUCCCUUGUCCUUCCGCUGCUGUUCUUCCGGGUGGCUUUGGGCUUCCGGGUGGCUUUCACUUUCCCUGUCUCAUGCCCACCACUCUCUGAUCCCCUCUGUGUCUUAGUUAGGUUUUCUACGGCUGUGCGGAAGCACCAGACCGAGGCAGCUUUGAGAAGUCAGGGUUUCUUUGGGGCUAUGGUUCUAGAGGGAUAAGAGUUCAUCACCCUCGUGCUGGGGAGCAUGGCGGCAGGCCGACAGCACUGGAGCAGCACCGAGAGCUCACAUCUCAACCUAUAAACAAACAGCAGACAGGACUAACGAGACAGCUUACGUCUUUUGAAACCUUAAAGCCUACCGCUAGGGACGUACUUCCUCUAGCUAAUAACCCUCCUAAUUCUCCUCAAAAAAAAAACAAAAAAAAAAAAAACAAAAAAAAAAAACAAAAACAAAAAAAAAACCCACCAACAAGGAACCAAGUAUUCAAAGACUCAGGACUUGUGGGGGACAUCUGAUUCAAACCACUAUAAACUGCAAAUCCCCACCUAGGAUCAGGGCCAUUUCCUCUUACUUUGAGGGGCUGGAGCAUGGAGCCCAAGUGCACACUCGUGUACCCCGUGCACACUCUUGGUUUUACGUGCACACUCCAGGCUGUACUCUGGUGCCCCUAGGCUGAGGUAUCAGUGACCCUCAGAACUUUUUAUUCCUGUCUGGAGACAUGCUCCCCAUGGCCAUCUGUCCAUCCCCACCCGACCCCCAGCACACACACAAAGCCCUUCAGCCUCUAGCUUCACAGAGAACUAUGAGGCAUUAGGUAAGACUUCUCUGACCUUGAUGGCCCCCAGACCUCCAGGUAACUGUAUAUCAUGCCAUCAAUGGCUCCUUUACCUUUGGGAGGGCUCUUUUCUUUGGUCCGGUUCCCAGGCUCUUGGGGCUCCACCAUCCUCAGCUCACUAAGAUUUUCAUUCCCUGCUUGUUCCUCACAGCCGCAACAGAAGUUGUCUUAGCCAAAUGCACGGGUGUUACCCUCCUGCAGUGAUUGGCCUUCCUGCAGUGCUCUGCUUUCUGUGCCCCCACCCCUGGGCUAACCCUGUGGCAGAGUGGUCUCUGCCCCUUUGCCCCUGGCCCUCUGCAGCUACCUGCCCCUUGCUCCCAUGUUGCUUAGUCUAGAGAGACUGCUCCUGUAAGGUCACUGUGAGGCCUAAUCCUAAAUUCUUUGCCCUUUCCAUAUCUCUGACUCCCAAGUAAGUUAGAACCCACAUUUAGACCAAGUCUCGAGAUUUCGUGUUCCCUUCUUUCCUAGCAACUGUUCCUAUGUCCCAGCCUUUCUUCUGACACAUCUAGCUGCUUUCUGUGUGGUUUCCUUCAGUGGGCAAUGCUCAGUGUCUUCCCUCACUCAUGGUUCCCCAUGUGGCAGGUGCAUAGCACAGUAGAGGGACACAUGAAGGGGCAGCUAGGAGGACAGUGGGCUGUGUCUUGUGCCUGUGUGGGCCUCCACGUGUGGGAUGCAUGGAAGACUCUGACCUGGUAUUUAAUGGCAUGCACAUUAAACUCGAGUAGGUUUUCCAGUCAAUCUUGACUUUCAGGAUUGUUGGGCUCCCUUUUGUAAAAAUUAGACAAAGGGGCUCCUUUAGGUUCAGCGUGAAGACUACUCCCCAUCUCACAGCAGGGCUCACAGGCCUGUAGAACAAAAGAAUGUUAGGAAAGGAUUCAUGAGCCACAGUGGUUAGAACCCACCCCUAGGGGUCUGUGGAACUUUCCAGGGAUGAAGUUGUCAGUUGGAGAUGACUCAGACACUCUUAGUCCUCGGUCACUUUGGGGUCCCUAACUUUGGUCCUAGUCCUCCUUCUCCAUCUUUAUCUACUAUCCUCACCUUAGGCCCGAGAUGGAUAGGUUCAUUGCCUUAGACUCUCAAACACCUGCUCUCCAGGUAUGCCCAUGGGCCUGUGGAUGGGUAAAGAGUGGAGGAGAGCUCCAAGACAAAGAAACGUCUUGGUGAUAGGCAGUCUGUAGGACAUCUUGGUGAUAGGCAGUCUGUUGGACAUCUUGGUGAUAGGCAGUCUGUUGGACAUCUUGGUGAUAGGCAGUCUGUUGGACAUCUUGGUGAUAGGCAGUCUGUUGGACAUCUUGGUGAUAGGCAGUCUGUUGGACAUCUUGGUGAUAAGCAGUCUGUAGGACAUCUUGGUGAUACACAGUCUGUAGGACAUCUUGGUGAUACGCAGUCUGUAGGACAUCUUGGUGAUAGGCAGUCUGUUGGACAUCUUGGUGAUAGGCAGUCUGUUAGCCAUCUUGGUGAUAGGCAGUCUGUUGGACAUCUUGGUGAUAGGCAGUCUGUUGGACAUCUUGGUGAUAGGCAGUCUGUUAGCCAUCUUGGUGAUAGGCAGUCUGUUAGACAGCUGCUCCAUGCUCAGGAGUUCACCCAUGGCCUCAGUUCUCCAGCCCACAUUUUCUCACUUCAACCUUGGGGUGCCUUGCAGCUUCUUUCUCCAGGCCCUAAGCCCUAGGGAAGAAGUAUUUCUUGGAGUGGGGAUCAAGGACACAGAGAAGUCAUCUCCCUCUUCCUCCCACCAUGGAAGCCAUCUCUCUCUUCCUAUCUCUUGUCCCUUCCCUCUCCCUGUCUGGGUCUUCACCCAGUGCCCAUCAUUCUAGCUCACGUUCCUUCUUCCUUUUGGCUUCCUUGGACCCCUUCCUUUGCGUUCUUAGAUUGUGGAUCUGGAAGUGGACCAGGGAAUGAGUUUCUGGUUUUAAGGGGAACCACUCCAUCCUCUAGCUCUCUUUGGUGACCCUAGGUGUUGACUUCUCUAAUUUCCCAAGGAGUCAGGAAUUUGGGGGCAGGGGGAGCUUACAUUGGAGAUCCAACUUGCUGCACACUUAGUCCUACACCCAUCUCCAGGCAUCAGCACACUGCCUUCCUCAGCAUUUCCCAUCCACCUGCCCCCGUGUGGGUUCACCAACCUUGAACUGCUUUUCUGAAACCAGUGCCCCCUACCCGUACCCGGGCCACCCCGUGUGGUGCCACACUCCCCUUCCCCCAGCCCCACUGCAGGAGCUGCAGUUCUGGCCUUUUAUGGUUGAGUUUCUCAUUCUCCACGGCCAGUGCUGACAGGGCCAUCGGUGUGGCUGCCUGCCAACUGGCAGGAGCAACAUGUUAAAUGCCGUCCUAGGAGGGGAAUGGAAUGGGGAGCAGGCUCUCUGUCUGCCUCCCCCACCCCAGAGCUAAGAAUAGAAACACUCAAUAAAAUGAAGACUUGUAUUGAUGGCCGAAGCAAAGCUACAUUCAUUCAGAGCCUGUGCAUUUAGACGUAGGCCAAAGUAAACCAGGGUUAAGCUGAUUUACCUGGUGUCUCCGGGGACAUCUGCAUCUUAUCUGAUUGGGUGUAUUAAGUAGAUGUAAACGUAAACGAGAUAAAGUAGAAAUUGUUCCACCUAUUCCGGACGGUUUGCAAGCACUUGAAAAGCAGCCACUUACUUGAUGGGCCAACUAAAUAAGGCCACUUAAAUGUGACUUAUACUCUUUGAGCUGCAGAAGUCUCUUGUGGCAUAUUCUCUGAAGAGCUGCCUUCUUUUCAGAUCAACAAAAACCAGCCCUUCCCCCGGUUGGUUUACGUGAGGGAGACUUAGCUAUUUCUGGGGCUCAUUAUUGUAUUUUAAGAAGCAACCGUAAGAAUGAGCUUUGCUGCCCGGCCUGGGCCUGGGCCUGAGCCUGCUGGGCUGCUCUGCAUGACCUGGGAGACGAUGAGGGAGGAGCAGUAGAUCCAGAUGGAUUCUUUCAUAUCACUCACCCAACAUGAGGAAAACAGACCUCCACCUCACUCUCAGGGAGAAAAAGUAACGAGAACCCUAGACACCCAACCUACACCAGCUACAUUCUAAAUUUAAAGCUUAUGUGAUUUGGAAGGGGUGGAGAUACUCCUUAAAGAAGCUUGACUUACCAGUGUAAGCAAGAUGCUAGCUUGAUCUCAUUCUGCCUGACAGCCUAGAAAGGAGCAAAUCCAGUCUGGGUGCACAGAGCUGUGGGACACUCCUGUGCCUUUGGCCAUGACUAGUGAGUGUUCCCGCUUGCUCUGAUAAUGCACCCUGACUGAAGGCAAUGUAGGGAGAAACGGUUGUUUGGCUCCCAAUUCUGGCUUAGAGUCCAGCAUCUCAGGGCAGUCUAGGCUGGAACUUCAUGGCCAAGAGCAAAGAGACCAAAUGGGUCACCGUGUGCUCCCUUGCUCUCAGCUAACUUAUUCCCUUCAUACUCUCCAGGAUGCCCUGCCUAGGGACUCUACAUCCACAAUGGCCUGCAUCUUCCUACAUCAGUUAACAGUCAAGAACUUCCCCACAGAUAUGCCCACAAGCCAACCUGAUCUGUAGAAGUCCUUGUUAAGGCCUUCUUCCCAGCUGAUUCAUGGUUCUGUCAAACUGACAGUUAAAACCAACCAGCACAGUGAAUUUACCUUCAGCCUCUUAGAGCCUCUUUUCAAGAUUGUGCUACCAUUCAGGUCAGCAGCUGUCGGAUUCUGGAUCUGUGCUUGGCCAUCCAGGCAGGCCUAGCCUAGACAGACAAGAUGUGGGCAAACACAGAGAGGGCAAAGGGAAGCCAGGCUGAUGGGAGGUUCGCAGACAAGGUCCUCUGGGUUCCCAGGAAUAGCAACCCUCUACUGAGCAUAAACUUGAAGCUGGAGCUGUGAGGAACCCUUCCCUUGGAAGGGUUUCCCAUUCUGCCAGCCAUGUCUCCAGGGAGCCCUGGGAGAAUUCUGAGGAAGUGAGGGUCGGGCUGUAGCCAGCAAGCUAGUCUCUCGUUUGCCAGGCACUGUCCAGGCUGAAUGUCUGUCUUUAGCAAAGAGGCUCAUGGGAGAACCCUCGUCCCACCCAAUGGUUAGAUCAAUUCAUGUGGGCUCUGUACUUGGAAAGGAUGGAGAGCAUCAGACAUAGUCGUGGCUCUGAGGACCAGCAGGGAGGAGGGAUCCUAAACUUCUAGGACUCCUGAACUCUUCCUGGGGGUCAAAUCCCUUCACAGAGGCAACAUUUUACUCAUAAUGCAAGCCUCCUUCCCCACAUUUUGCACCUUCUCCCUUGCUGCCUGAGGGAAACCCCACCACAUGUAAAUUAGAGAUGUCAAGGGUAGGAGCUCAUAGCAACUCUUCUGCAACAUUGAUCUCUCCAAGUUGUUUUUUUCCAAAGCAAACCAGAGAGAAGGAAAUCAGCCAACAGCCAGGGUCUUCACUUGUAUAAACUUCCAAGACUAAGUCUGCCAGGAAGUCUGGGGCAGGGACAGUAAGGACUUCUCACCCCUCGGCAGACUCUUUGACUUCCUUAGCUGGUUUCCAGAGGACUUGAGCCACUUGCCUCUAAGAGUAUUUAGAAUAAUAAACAUCUUUGCCAACACCAGAAAUGUUUCUUAAAAAGACCAAUAUAUCCUUCAGAACAAACAGAUUUUCUAAGAGAACAUCUUAAACAACCAGUGAAAGUGGCUCCAUUGCAGGAGGCCUCCCGUGUCGCUGGGAAGCUGAGAAGUGGCCCUGACAUGACUUAAAACAACUGGUAGAAGUGGUUCCCUUACAGGAGGCCUCCAGCAUCACUGUGACGCUCACGGCAAUGAUGGGAGGUGGCUCUCUGGGAGCAAAUGAACCCCAGGCAGCAAAGAUCAAGCUAGAAUAUCAAAGGAGACACGGGAUUAGGGGUGGCGUUCAAUGGGUAGAGUGCCUGUCUAGGAUGUGUGAAACCUUGAGUUCUGAGCCCAUCAUCUCAUACACUAGGUAUCCUGGGGAAUGAAUGCCCGUAAUGGAAGUAAUCUGAAUGUGCAGUUGGGAGGACCAGAAGUUCGGGAUCACCUUGGACCAGGGAAUGAGUUCCAGGCCCACAUAGAUAGAUAGAUAGAUAGAUAGAUAGAUAGAUAGAUAGAUAGAUAGAUAGAUAGAUAGAUAGAUAGAUAGAUAGAUAGGGAAUGAGUUCCAGGCCCACAUAGAUAGAUAGAUAGAUAGAUAGAUAGAUAGAUAGAUAGAUAGAUAGAUAGAUAGAUAGAUAGAUAGAUAGAUAGACAGACAGGGAAUGAGUUCCAGGCCCACAUAGAUAGAUAGAUAGAUAGAUAGAUAGAUAGAUAGAUAGAUAGAUAGGGAAUGAGUUCCAGGCCCACAUAGAUAGAUAGAUAGAUAGAUAGAUAGAUAGAUAGAUAGAUAGAUAGAUAGAUAGAUAGAUAGACAGACAGAUACAUACAUACAUACAUACACUCAUAGAAAGAAAGAUAGAUAGAUAGAUACAUACAUACAUACAUACAUACACUCAUAGAAAGAAAGAUAGAUAGAUGCAUAGAUAGAUACAUAGAUAGAUUCAAGAAAGAAAGAAAAAUAGGUAGAUAGAUAGAUAGAUAGAUAGAUAGAUAGAUAUCGAGGAGAAGAAAAUAGUUAAAAUAGAGGAGGGGUGAGAAGGAAUGUGUGUGUACAUAUGAAUGUCCACAAAAUAAACAGUUAAAAUUAAUAUUUAGUGAUUUAAAAAUAAAUUUAUUUAUUUGAAUUCAUUUAAAAAAUAAAAAGAGA